UGGCUCAGUUGGUAGAGUGUGGCGCUUGCAACGCCAGGGUUGUAGGUUCGAUUCCCAU
rfam:Salmo salar isolate Sally breed double haploid chromosome ssa12, whole genome shotgun sequence.